rnacentral:lncRNA from 1 species
CCUACCCACUGGGAAGUGAUUUCCUGGGGAGUUUUUUUUUUUUUCCUUUUUUCUUUUUCUUUUUUAAAGGUGUGUAUGUAACCAGCUGCUUCUGCAAAAACACACGCACUGGUAUCCCAGGGGAGCGCUUGAGAGGUGGGAAAUUGCUUGGACUGCUUAAUUUCACUCCAAGAGCACACACACAUCUUUUUGUGAUUACUCCCCAGCGCUGUUACAUACACACCUACACCUACAUACGCCUUUCGGGUACACAUCACUGUGUAUGUAUUUUACACACAUAUACACAGAAGAGGCUGUAGAAGACGAGAGUCUCCUAAGCAAGGAAGGUCAGGCUCCUCACGGUGAAUAGUCUCUGUGCCGUACAAGCAGCAGGUGCAUCGGUCUCAGCCAAAAGGUCGGCGAAGGAAAUUGGGCUGGGCCUCACGCUGGUUGGUACAGCAUCCUUAGCCUGCUAAGUGUGCUGCUUUCUGUGUCUUUAUCAGCCUGACUCUGCACCAUGCUAUGCACAGCAUGGUACAACACAUCUAACAUCUCAGGGGCUGUUGCAUGGAAGAUUUUCUGCAGAAGAAGCAGAGACUUAGAAUUUCAGGCUGCAUCUGCUAUAGCGGAGCUUUGCAAUACAUUAGUUUGGUCAUCAUCAGCCUGAGCUACAGUGGUUCGACCCUGGGGAAUUGAAUCACUUUUUUAAAGCUAUGGUUUUCAUUAAUAUGUACAAGCCAGAGGAGGCAUAGAAUGAGCUUCUGCUCAUUUUGCAUCUUGGGUGACACUUUAAGAUACAUUGUCAGUCUAGGAUUUAGAUAGGGGUGGUGUGACCACUAGACUAAAACCAGGAUUGCUGCCCAGAAAUAAAACUUGGGAGGCUGAAGAGAAUUUAAGGAGGAUGUUGGGAAGUGGCUGCGGUGUUCAUGACCCCGUGUUCAGGAGGCCCAACCUUAUUAGACGUGUUAGGAAUGUGUUUACUAUUAAUACAGCAUAUUAUAGGAGAAGUGUCGUCAAAAGCUUCCUUAACAUGGUCAUCUGUGUCUUGGGGAUUGUUGCUGACUGUGUUUUCACUGCAAGCCUCACAUCCUUUAUCAGUAGGAUAAUAUUGUACACAUUUCCAUCAAAGCAUGUUAGCCAGAUACAAUGAUUCAUUAUUAUGCCUUUUAUUCUGGAAGUUGAUUUAGCUUAGACAGUAAGUUGUGUGGUCAUCUUAUUUCUCUGAUUCUGAGUCUCCAGCAGGAAUGUCCUAGCAGACAAGGACAUUUAGAGUCUGGCAGUGAUGUGCCCAGGAACUCGCAGCUAGUCUCAAGAUGUCAAGAUAUGUGUGUUCGUGUGUGUGUGUGUGUGUGUGUGUGUGUGUGUGUGUGUGUGUGUGUUGGCAAAAUUCCCAGUUAUGGGGCCACUAGUAAAUUCAUCUUUUUCUUCAUAGGAAACUUAAUAUUCUGUAACUGUGGCAGGCAUAGAAGGGAACAGAGGCCAAGCUCGGCUCUCUUCUGUUUUGCAAAUAGACAGUUAAUGGAACUCAGUCUUAUUUCUACAUUGUCAUUGGCUACUUCAGUACAAUAGAGACAAACAGAGCCUAAAAUAUUUUCUGUCCAUCUCUUAGAGAUAGCUUGCUAGCCUUACUGUGGGAUACUACUGUCCCAACAAACAAAAAGACAGCAAGUUUGUCAGAACCACUGUUUACUUUUUCUUAAUUUUAAUUAAAAUAAACAAUCAAUUCGUGAUUUGGAUAUAGAGUUGGGUCCCAGUGAUUGUUACUCAGAAGGCAAGAGAGCCUGAGUGUUGGGCAGUUGGCUGCUGUCUCUUUACCCAGAUGCUCAGGAGGUGCCACCCUGCUAGGUACGCUGGGAUGUGUAUGAAUUUGUUUAUUCUGAAUUACAGCAUACAAUUCAUUCUCUUGUGGUCUCACUAACUUAAGAAACAGUUGACUAUAGUACAUAUUCUUUAUCCCAAUCUCUCCAACUUGCUAGCAUUUUAGCAUGUCAUUGGGGAAACCCUGAGUGUGAUGCUUGGCCUCCUCACUGUGUGCGCAGUGUUUGGAGUCCAGUGCAUUUCUACAGUAUCAGCAUAGUUCAGUUUCCACUGAGCCACAUGUCGAAUGUUCAUUCGGCCAUGUAUGGCUUGGAGCAACCACAUUCUGCAGCAUGAUGCAUAUGGGGUAGGCCCCUAGCAGUUUUGUGAGGACUCACAGUACUUUUUUAAUUUCUGUUUUUGUUUUAUUGCACACCUGAUGAAUUAAUUUUCUCCCUAAGAACUUUUUAAAGUUUGCUUUCUGGAAGAUGCCAAUAUAUUUAUUUUAACCGACUAUUGUUUUUGUUUUUGUUUCAGACAGGCUCUCUUAAUGUAGCCCAGAGUGGCUUUGGAUUUGUUAUUCUCUAACUUUGGUCUGCCAGUCCUUCACAUUCAUGUGUGCAUUUUUGUGCCUUGUGGAAAACAGUGUUCAGAUGUGAGCUUCUCAGGUGGUGGGCAGGCGGCUGACCUGACUCUCACUGAGGCAUGUAGCACCACUCCAUAUAUCUCUUGUAGAUCAUGUACACUACUCCUUAAGAGAUUUUAAAGUAGACAUAUGUCUUGGGUCUUUUGGGUCUGUUAGUAUAGUAAGGAGACAUUUGGAGAGCCAAAGAUGUAACUCCAGGGUCUUCUGUCUCUCCUGGGAUGCUGCUUUCAGGUAUGAAGAAUCCACCUUGCCAUGAUCCAUUUGUUGAAUUAAUCACUUGCUUUCCCUUGGAUUUGAUUUAUGGUUUGGUGGAAAAGUCUAGAAGGUGCUUAGAGCGAGCAAGACUAGGUUCCUUCUUGGAGAGAAUGCAGGGCUGGUUCCGAAUGAAGAAAAAAAGAACAGUUGCCCAGGGUGAGGCAAAAGAUGAAAUUCCCUUGGGCUACCCGCUCUUCUCUUUGUGACUCUUCUGGAGUCUUGUACACAGAGGCCAGGCAACUGGGCCAGCUCACAGUAUUAUUAAACGUUCUUUUGGAUAGAUCUCAGCUCUUGUUGUUUUCUUCUGUCAGUUGCUAGAUAAAGGCUCCCGUCCUGCCACUGGAAAAAGGCUGAGGCUGACAUACAGUUAAGUGGGAACUCACUGAUAUCCUCUUGGGUACAACCUCAGACCCUGAGCAACCCAACUGCUUCAUAAAGAGGGGGGAUGGUGGACUCAGCUUUACAUUUGCCUAACUCAGUUUGCAUCUCUGUCCCCUAAAUGGAGCUGGGACCUUCUUGUUCAGGUGACAGUGUUUCUGGCAACCUUUUCAGCCAGGGGGUUAAAAUGAGUCGGCCUCGUCUGUGCCAUUCUGUUUAAGGAGCUGGGAAAGUGCUGACAGGGCUUGCCUUGGACACAUGCUCAGUUUUCAUUUUUACUGAAGGAUUCACGGACUUUCCCACCCUUCUUUCCC